CUCGGAGUUUGAUCCUGGCUCAGGAUGAACGCUAGCGGCAGGCUUAACACAUGCAAGUCGAGGGGUAUAGUUCUUCGGAGCUAGAGACCGGCGCACGGGUGCGUAACGCGUAUGCAAUCUACCUUUUACAGAGGGAUAGCCCAGAGAAAUUUGGAUUAAUACCUCAUAGUAUGUGAGAAUCGCAUGGUUUUCACAUUAAAGUUCCAACGGUAAAAGAUGAGCAUGCGUCCCAUUAGCUAGAUGGUAAGGUAACGGCUUACCAUGGCUACGAUAGGUAGGGGGCCUGAGAGGGUGGUCCCCCACACUGGUACUGAGACACGGACCAGACUCCUACGGGGAGGCAGCAGUGGGGAAUUUUGGACAAUGGACGCAAGUCUGAUCCAGCCCAUGCCGCGUGCAGGAUGAAGG
rnacentral:rRNA from 1 species